GCGCCAUUAGCUCAAUUGGUAGAGCAGCGGACUCUUAAUCCGUUGGUUCCAGGUUCGAGUCCUGGAUGGCGUACCA
rnacentral:tRNA from 1 species